rnacentral:rRNA from 1 species
CUCCUUGCAUUAUUCAAGCCUAUGUUUCAUAUACCCCAAAAAUGUAACAGAAUGUAUCAUUGGGCCUUGUGCCUAUAAACUAUAUACAACUUUCAGCAACGGAUCUCUUGGCUCUCGCAUCGAUGAAGAACGCAGCGAAAUGCGAUAAGUAAUGUGAAUUGCAGAAUUCAGUGAAUCAUCGAAUCUUUGAACGCACCUUGCGCUCCUUGGUAUUCCGAGGAGCAUGCCUGUUUGAGUGUCAUUAAAUUCUCAACCUUACCAGUUUUCACAAGUUGGUAAUGGCUUGGACUUGGGGGUUUUUUGCUGGCUUCGUCAAGAGGUCUGCUCCCCUUAAAUGUAUUAGCCGGUACCCGUGUGGAGUCGUCUAUUGGUGUGAUAAUUAUCUACGCCGUGGGCCUUCACUUUAAAUGGAUUGUACUGCUUCUAACCGUCCGUUAAGUCGGACAAAUAAUGACAAUUUGACCUCAAAUCAGGUAGGACUACCCGCUGAACUUAA